rnacentral:piRNA from 1 species
CAAAAAAGGCUUUUCUUCUUCUAAG